rnacentral:rRNA from 1 species
AGCGAACGUUAGCGGCGGGCCUAACACAUGCAAGUCGAACGCGAAAGGUCUUCGGACUGAGUAGAGUGGCGCACGGGUGAGUAACACGUAGGUAAUCUACCCUUUGGCGGGGGAUAACGUUCCGAAAGGAGCGCUAAUACCGCAUAAGACCACGGAGUCUCCGGACGCUGUGGGAAAAGGUGGCCUCUUCUUGAAAGCUACCACCGAAGGAUGAGCCUGCGUCCCAUCAGCUAGUUGGUAAGGUAAUGGCUUACCAAGGCGAAGACGGGUAGCUGGCUUGAGAGAAUGAUCAGCCACACUGGCACUGGAACACGGGCCAGA